CUCCUAUCCUCUACAUAAAACUUAAAUUUUCACUAUAAGGUUUUGAAGAAAUAGAUGGAUUCAGCUUUAUACUGAAAAUGCCUAUUCAUUUUAACACUGCGAGAAAAAAGAAAAGUGCCUUUUCAUCCUGGCACCUGAAAUCUGAAUUGUUUUUUUUUAACUGGGCCUGGAAGUAAUCUGAUCCUUAAUUAUUGCUUAGGGGAGGGAAUAACCCUACAGGCUGAAGAUUUCAUUAGCAGCCCACCAGUCUCUUGAACAUAAUGUGGCAAUGCUUCUAUCAUGUGUGUGUGUGUAUAUAUAUAGUCUCCCUUCCGUCCCUCCAAAAUAAUAAAUAACUUUAGGUGAAGGACAUCAGAAAUAGCAAAAAAAUGGAAAUAUGGAAAUUAUGUGAGUUUUUUUUUUAAUACAUAGGACAUCUAGCCUUUUAUGGAGUAAGUCUGCCAACUCCAGUCUAGGUUGUAGAAUGCAGAAUGAUACAGGGAAAUACUGAACUGAUCCAGCUCCCUCCACUGAAUGGCUGUAUGUGCUUUGACAAGUCACAAUCUCUUUCAAAACUAGUUGCCUCAUUUAUAAAAUGCAAACGCCUGAGUCCCACACCCAAUCAAAUGAAAUUCAAAAUCUCUGGGAAUGGGGCCCCACACAUAGCCUCCCCCAGGUGAUUCUAAAGCAUAGUGAGGACCGAAAUCCCGAGAUUAAAUGAUGACUAAAUCUCUUCAGCUCUGCUAUUCUUUCUAUAAAUAACAUAGUUUGUAACACUGAUUUUUUUAAAAGAACUGCAUCCUAAAAAUAACCUUCCUCCUGAUAUAAUCCAAACUUAAGUUCUAUGUAUUUUAUACAAUUAAAAACAAGUAGCUACAAGUUAAGUCACUCUACAGCAAAUACAAUCUAAAUAAAAUUGUGUCAAAAUAUUUCAAAUUUUAAUUAAUGACAGAAUGUUAUGGUCUAGGUCAGGAGUCAGCAAACUUUUCUGUAAAGAGCCAGAUAGUAAAUAGUUUAGGCUUUGUGGGCCACAUGGUCUUC
rnacentral:lncRNA from 1 species